GAGGGUUCUAAUGGGGGAGGUUUCCAUUGGGCUUUAAGGUCCGUACCGUCACGAUUAAGGCCCGUACCGUGACGAUUAAGGUCCGUACCGUGACGAUUAGUAAAGGAAAAAGGGUCAAGAUUGCAUUAUGCAGAUUACACCUCUUUACCUGGAGGUGUGUACUUCAGGGCAGCAAGGAGCUGUUGACCAUCAGUCAUCACUCAUCAGGCCAAGUGUUAUCAGAUCCUCAAAGUUCUACAGCUGCACCAUUGAAAGCAUCUUGACGGACUGCAUCACCACUUGGUAUGGCAACUGCUUGGCAUCCGACCGCAAGGUGCUACACGGG
rnacentral:lncRNA from 1 species